CACCGACAAACUAAGUCUCUUUUCAGAACUCAGAAGCUAUGGAUGAUAGUUGUGCUGUCUGUGCUGAGACACUCAAGUGGGUUGCUUAUGGACCAUGUGGCCAUCGGGAGGUCUGCUCAACUUGCACAGUCCGUCUCCGUUUCAUCUGCAAUGAUCAAUGUUGCUGCAUCUGCAAAUCUGAAUCCAGUAUCAUCUUUGUCACCAAGGCUCUCGGUGAUUACACAAGGAUGGUAAAUGAUUUCUCUGCUUUCCCAGCCAAUCCAAUUGAAGGCCAAGUUGGGCAGUACUGGUUUCAUGAAGGCGCACGAGCAUAUUUUGAUGAUCUGGAUCACUACAAAAUGAUAAAGGCCAUGUGCAGGCUAUCAUGCAAUGUUUGUGACAGAAAGAAUGAACCAAAAAGCAGAAGAUCAAAAAGAACAGGAGAUUUUAAUUGCAUUGAGCAGCUGAAGAUUCAUUUGUUCCACCAGCAUAGACUGUUUAUGUGCAGUCUUUGUUUAGAAGGCAGGAAGAUAUUUAUAAGUGGG
rnacentral:misc_RNA from 1 species